GGAGCUGGUAAUCAGGAUGGCAGUGAGGCAGGCACUUGCUUGCAGAAGAACAGGCCUAGUUUUUUAAGAAGCCACAAAAGUGUCUUUGGAUGAUUAGGAUCUAAGGGGCCAACAGCUUUGCAAUAACAGCAUAAAUAUUGUGGGCUGGAUGGACAGGCACCAAAUGGGGACAUUCCAUCCUGCUGUGUGAUGAGAAAGCUGCCACUUUUGAGGCCUUCCAAAACAAAUCAACACUCCAUAUGCCAGAAGGAAAAGCCCAGGAAAGACCUAUUCCAACUGGAGAUGGAAUACGAAGGGAGAAUGAAACAAAACUGCUCCGCUUAGGGAACUUGGAAAGGAAAUUGAAAAGGCAAGGCACAGGCUGGAAGAAAAUAUUUGAAAAAGAUUUAUGUGAACUUCUUUCUGGAUUAUACAAAAUAUUUUUAGAUAUUCUUACAACUCUAAAAUAAGAUAACUCCUUAAAAAUCUAAAUUCUACCAAAGGAGAGAUAAAGAUGACGAAUACAUUCAAAGAUGCUGAAAAUCACUUAUUUAUUAUUAGGAAGUUACAAGCUAAAGCAUAAUGAGAUACCACUACAACCUACUAAACUGACUAAAAUUAAUCAGACUAACCAGGUGUUGGCAAGAAACAGGGACACUGAGACUCUCACACUGCUGGAAGGAAUGUAAAAUGCUAAAACUUCUUUGGAAAUGAGUUCAGUAACUUUUUAAACAGUUGAAAAUAGACCUAUCAUGCAAACCAGCAAUCCCACUUCCAGGUAUUUAUACAAGGAAAAUGACAACAUAUGCCCACAUAAAGACUUGUGCACAAAUGACCGUAGCAGCUUUGUGAUAAUUGCUAAAAACUAGAAACUUGUCAAGUGUCCAACAGGUGAGUGGACAAACUCACUAUAG
rnacentral:lncRNA from 1 species